rnacentral:misc_RNA from 1 species
UAAUUCCUUCCUAGGAGGAAGCUUCUAUUUUUACAAAGGUUUCUGCUAAGGGUAUUGGCACCUGGCGCCGCCUAGGCGACCGGAGCCCAAAUGCAAUGGCGGACGCGCAAGCGGUCCCUAGCGCAAUAAAUAAAAACUUCGCUUAAAAGGCUCGCAGCAGCGGACCAUAGCCUAACGCAAAAAGCUUUUGGUUUUUUGCAAUAAAA